rnacentral:rRNA from 1 species
UACGUAGGGGGCAAGCGUUAUCCGGAUUUACUGGGUGUAAAGGGAGCGUAGACGGCGAUGCAAGCCAGAUGUGAAAGCCCGGGGCUCAACCCCGGGACUGCAUUUGGAACUGUGUGGCUGGAGUGUCGGAGAGGCAAGUGGAAUUCCUAGUGUAGCGGUGGAAUGCGUAGAUAUUAGGAGGAACACCAGUGGCGAAGGCGGCUUGCUGGACGAUGACUGACGUUGAGGCUCGAAAGCGUGGGGAGCAAACAGG